rnacentral:lncRNA from 1 species
GAUUUCUAUAUUUCUAUAAUUUGAUAUGUUUUUUUGGAUUAGAAUAUCAUUUUAGAAAAGAGAUAUAUUUAUAUUGAAAGAAUUUUUCUUAUAAGUAAUUCUAACAUAAUACUAAUAAUCGUAAUCGAAUUAAUAAGAUUUUAAAUCUUAUUAAUUUAAUUUGAUUUAUUCGAUUGUAUUUUUUGUCAAUACUAAUAUUGACAACACUGUAUCAAAUCAAUAUAAUCCGAUCAUGAAUAAAUCGAUCACUUUACUUACGUUAAAUAGGCGUUAUUACUUCAUCAAAUGACAAAUUAAGUAAUAACUUGAUUCAAAUGUAACCUUUAGACCUUUAUCAAAUAAUUGAAUAAUGCUAAGAAAGUUAUGUUUGAGGAUAUCAACAAGUAAGACAUUUUCAAUAAUGUACGAGGAGGGGAUUUGUAUUUUACCUAUACCAACAAUUUUACCCUUAUUAUUAUCACCAUAUAUGACAUGCCCACUUAUUUUGUGAAACAAGCAGCUGAACCUUGAAGGAUCUCCAGUCAUGUGUCUAGAGCAUCCGCUGUCCAGAUAUCACAUGGCCUCUUUUUCACCUUUCUCUUCACUAUUUUCAGCUUGGGCAAAUCUGGCCGUCAUGCUUAAAUUCGUUUAAUGUUUAGAGUGCUUGUUGACUUAACUUCUGCCUUCAUUUUCUUCUUGCAAAUCGUGCUUUCUAGAGUGAGCUUUACUCCUUGCAAAGUUCUAAAUAGUUUUUCUGUUACAUAUUAAAUAUUUGGAAAACCUUUCUGCAAUAAAAUUUGUCUCUCCAUUCUCUGAACUUUCUACAAAUUUUGUAACAGUUUCAGCAACAGACUCCAAGGUGUUGAUGUAUCUUUUCUCCUCUUUAUUUUUCUUUCUUGAUAUAGAGAACUCUUUGACUUUGGCCUUCUCAAUUCUUGUCUUGAUUGGUUCAUUGGAACUAUUGAU